rnacentral:rRNA from 1 species
CCGCAUAACGUCGCAAGACCAAAGUGGGGGACCUUCGGGCCUCAUGCCAUCAGAUGUGCCCAGAUGGGAUUAGCUAGUAGGUGGGGUAACGGCUCACCUAGGCGACGAUCCCUAGCUGGUCUGAGAGGAUGACCAGCCACACUGGAACUGAGACACGGUCCAGACUCCUACGGGAGGCAGCAGUGGGGAAUAUUGCACAAUGGGCGCAAGCCUGAUGCAGCCAUGCCGCGUGUGUGAAGAAGGCCUUCGGGUUGUAAAGCACUUUCAGCGGGGAGGAAGGCGAUAAGGUUAAUAACCUUGUCGAUUGACGUUACCCGCAGAAGAAGCACCGGCUAACUCCGUGCCAGCAGCCGCGGUAAUACGGAGGGUGCAAGCGUUAAUCGGAAUUACUGGGCGUAAAGCGCACGCAGGCGGUCUGUCAAGUCGGAUGUGAAAUCCCCGGGCUCAACCUGGGAACUGCAUUCGAAACUGGCAGGCUAGAGUCUUGUAGAGGGGGGUAGAAUUCCAGGUGUAGCGGUGAAAUGCGUAGAGAUCUGGAGGAAUACCGGUGGCGAAGGCGGCCCC